rnacentral:rRNA from 1 species
UCCUACGGGAGGCAGCAGUGGGGAAUAUUGCACAAUGGGCGCAAGCCUGAUGCAGCAACGCCGCGUGAGGGACGAAGGCCUUCGGGUUGUAAACCUCUUUUAGUAGGGAAGAAGCGACUGGGUUUUCCUGGGAGUGACGGUACCUGCAGAAAAAGCACCGGCUAACUACGUGCCAGCAGCCGCGGUAAUACGUAGGGUGCAAGCGUUGUCCGGAAUUAUUGGGCGUAAAGAGCUCGUAGGCGGUUUGUCGCGUCUGCUGUGAAAACCCGAGGCUCAACCUCGGGCCUGCAGUGGGUACGGGCAGACUAGAGUGCGGUAGGGGAGAUUGGAAUUCCUGGUGUAGCGGUGGAAUGCGCAGAUAUCAGGAGGAACACCAAUGGCGAAGGCAGAUCUCUGGGCCGUAACUGACGCUGAGGAGCGAAAGCAUGGGGAGCGAACAGGAUUAGAUACCCUGGUAGUCCAUGCCGUAAACGUUGGGAACUAGAUGUGGGGACCAUUCCACGGUCUCCGUGUCGCAGCUAACGCAUUAAGUUCCCCGCCUGGGGAGUACGGCCGCAAGGCUAAAACUCAAAGGAAUUGACGGGGGCCCGCACAAGCGGCGGAGCAUGCGGAUUAAUUCGAUGCAACGCGAAGAACCUUACCAAGGCUUGACAUAUACCGGAAACGGCUGGAAACAGUCGCCCCGCAAGGUCGGUAUACAGGUGGUGCAUGGUUGUCGUCAGCUCGUGUCGUGAGAUGUUGGGUUAAGUCCCGCAACGAGCGCAACCCUCGUCCUAUGUUGCCAGCACGUAAUGGUGGGAACUCAUGGGAUACUGCCGGGGUCAACUCGGAGGAAGGUGGGGAUGACGUCAAAUCAUCAUGCCCCUUAUGUCUUGGGCUUCACGCAUGCUACAAUGGCCGGUACAAAGGGCUGCGAUACCGCAAGGUGGAGCGAAUCCCAAAAAGCCGGUCUCAGGUCGGAUUGAGGUCUGCAACUCGACCUCAUGAAGUCGGAGUCGCUAGUAAUUGCAGAUCAGCGACGCUGCGGUGAAUACGUUCCCGGGCCUUGUACACACCGCC